CAAUAGCGUAUAUUAAAGUUGUUGCGGUUAAAAGCUCGUAGUUGGAUUUCUGCCGAGGACGACCGGUCCGCCCUCUGGGUGAGUAUCUGGUUCGGCUACUGCAUCCUCCUGAGGAACGUUGGUGCGCUUCACUGCGUGGCACGGUAUUCAGGACUUUUACUUUGAGGAAAUUAGAGUGUUCACGGCAGGCGUUUGCCCUGAAUAUAUUAGCAUGGAAUAAUGAUAUAGGAUCCACGUCCUAUUUUGUUGGUUUCUAGGACGAGGAUAAUGAUUAAUAGGGAUAAUUGGGGGCAUUCGUAUUAACACGUCAGAGGUGGAAUUCUUGGAUUGUGUUACGACGAACUACUGCGAAAGCAUUUGCCAAGGAUGUUUUUCAUUGAUCAAGAACGAAAGUAAGGGGAUCGAAGAUGAUUAGAU
rnacentral:rRNA from 1 species